rnacentral:rRNA from 1 species
CAAAGUCGCACGGGCGGGGGGCAACUCCGUCAGUGGCGGACGGGGUGAGUAACGCGUAGGAAUCUAUCCUUGAAUGGGGGACAACCGUGGGAAACUACGGCUAAUACCGCAUGAUGCCUGAGGGCCAAAGACGAAAGUCGUUUGAGGAGGAGCCUGCGUCUGAUUAGGUAGUUGGUGGGGUAAAGGCCCUACCAAGCCUACGAUCAGUAGCUGGUCUGAGAGGAUGAUCAGCCACAUUGGGACUGAGACACGGCCCAAACUCCUACGGGAGGCAGCAGUGGGGAAUAUUGGACAAUGGGCGCAAGCCUAAUCCAGCAAUGCCGCGUGGGUGAAGAAGGUCUUCGGAUUGUAAAGUCCUUUGGCGGGACGAUGAUGACGGUACCCGCAGAAUAAGCUCCGGCUAACUUCGUG